AAAAUUUCCACGUCGGCAAAAGUCAAGAUGGAAGGGAGCGGAGCGGAGCGCGAGGGGGGAGCCGGCCCGGGAAUGCCUGGCGGCCGGCGCUGGAGGGGCAGGCUGGGGAGCCUGCGGCGGGCGCACGAGGGGCCACUCGCGAAGGUGUCCCGGCCCAGCGCGACCACCGCCCCCAACCCCGGGAGCCUCUGGGCGCCCCGCACUCCGCCAGCCGCCCGUGCACCCCGGCCCGGGGGACGCAGCCCACUGCCCCUCCGGCCUUGUCUCUUAGGGGUGGCGGGGGAUGGAACGGUGGCGAGGGGUUUGGGGGAAGAUGGGAAAGCACUUUCCAGACCUGUUGCACGCGCGCAACAGCUGUUCAGGUGCGGUAUGUGGGGGGAGGGGGUCUGCUAGGAUGGGGGACAGAGUGGUCGCUUAUGCUGCAGGGAAAAGGGGGUGCCGGGAGGGGGAGAAGAGCAGUCUUGGGGACUGUGUGCAAGGUUGUGCGCGAACGGGGUCCGCGGGAAGCACUGCCUAAUGGGGCAGGGAGAAUCCCAAAGAGUGGGUGGGUGGAACGGAGGGGAUGGGACGACUUCGACCCGAGUUCCCGGGGCUGGGCGCGGGCGGCUGGAAGACCGGGAAUAGAGUACUGGGAAUGGCUGGGGAAGGGGGUCUCAGGGGAGGCCCCGCAAAGCGGGUCUUUCUUGGGUCGUCCCAUCUUAGGGGCUUUUCCCGGGCCUGUAUUUGUUCCCCACCGUUUAACUCUUUCAGCUCCGAAUAUUCGUCCUCGUGCAGCGCCCCCGCCCCCAGCUUUCCAGAUGGGAAGGUAAAAAGUUGCCACAAGUUAGAGUGAGUUAGCUGCUGGCAAAAGUUUAAAUAACUACCGAGGGAGGUGAGGGUUCGACCAGGAAUGGGUUCUAAUCUGAGGACGGGUAGGAAGGAAGGAGAGUGUGCGAUUCUUGCAGCCCCUUUGCUGUGACAUUGCGACCAGAAUUUGUCGAAUCGGGCUGUUAAAACACCAUUUCUGUUGGGCAUUUGCUCCUGCUGACUGCGGCAGUAACUUUCCAUAAUUAAUGACCCGUUCCAUUAUCGGUCGCAUCCUGAACUAAAUUGCUUUUAACGAGUUAUUCUUCUUUGUCUUAGCUGGGGGGUGGGGGAACACACCUGCAGGAAGAAACUUCUGGAGGAAGACAGCACGUUUGGUCUUUUGAGGCAAAGUUCUGAGACACUCCGACUCUGAGUAUGAUAGAAGUCAGUGCACUACAGAACUUUGUCUCUAGAGGCUGUGGUCGCCGAUGCCGCCAGUGCUCCAGACGCCAGGCCGAGUGGCCCUGGUGGCCACGUCGCUGCGCCUUUCCCUUGGGGGAGGGGCAAGGCCAGAGGGGGUCCAAGUGCAGCACGAGGAACUUGACCAAUUCCCUUGAAGCGGGUGGGUUAAACCCUGUAAAUGGGAACAAAAUCCCCCCAAAUCUCUUCAUCUUACCCUGGUGGACUCCUGACUGUAGAAUUUUUUGGUUUAAAGAAGAAAAAAAUAAAGCUUUGGACUUUUCAAGGUUGCUUAACAGGUACUGAAAGACUGGCCUCACUUAAACUGAGCCAGGAGAGCUGCAGAUUUAUUAAUGGGUGUGUUAGUGUGCAGUGCCUUGCAGGAAUUUAAACUCUCUACCCUUAAAGAAGGAAAUGUAUUUGUACAAAAGCCACAGAUAAUGGUCCUUUUACUCAAGCGACCUGCUGGAUAAAUGACAGCCUGCAGGGAUUGAGUUUGGAGAUCUAGUCUCAAUUCUGCUUCCGAUUUAGAUGCAGUUCACUUUUGUUUUUUAAAGUAAGUUUUAUUAAUGGAAAGGAAGAACUUUUUCCAAGAAAGCAUUUUGAAAGCCACUGGGGGAGGGGGACAUUUAUGCUUUUGGGCUGUGGAGAUCCUUUAGGUGGAGAGACUGCUCUCUCAUCCCUAGUGGAAUGGAGGUUUGGGUUGGUGAGUUUCUAUCAAUAGCCUGCUCUCUAUAGUGGGUCAGUGACUGGCACCAAAUUGUAGUCCUGUUCCAUGGACAUUGCCCUGUUUUGGUUUUAUGAGCUUUUGGCCAGGCACAGGACGCAGGGUGGUAGGGAAAAAAGGAAAUGGUUCCUGUGCCCGUGGUGCUGACAGGUAAGGGAAGGGCCUUCUGAUGUAUUUUAUGGGAUGCUUCAGAAACCUGGGGGUUGCUUGUGUCUCUGGGAAGCCCUUGGUAAAGAAAGCCACCAUUUUUUUUACUUAGGUAUAUUCCAGUGGUUUAUCAUCGGGAGAGGGAUGAUAAUGGAGGAAGGCUCAAUGAGGGAGAAAGUAUUCAGCUGCUUGAUGUUAGAGCUUAAUGGCAGGACCUACCAGUUGCUUUUCACAGAAAUGCUGUGUAUUGAUCCUAAGGCAGCAUGUGUUCUCUUUUGUGUGGCCAUUAUCCAUUCUCCCACUUUUCCAUCAGUGACUGCUUUGCUUUUGUUCCUCAAUCCUUUACCCAAAAAUGGCUGAAUUAUUUCUGUGCAGUUAAAUAAAGUGAUCCAAACUCAAGUACGUCUUGUGUUCAUUUGAGAUGUAAGGUAUGCUUACUUGAGGAAGAGGAUUCUCUUUCCUAGUUCUUAUGUCUGUACAUCUCCACAAGAUAGUCUGAAUAUACUGAAUUUUAAGAAAACUUAAAUCAACUUUGUAAGAGAAUGGGAGGUAAAGAGUGGAGCGGUUGACUGGGAGAGUAGUCAUCCAUACAAAGGAAUUAGGUCAGGAUCUCUCACCUCCAGAGAAAGGCAAGGUUUGGAGUCCCUGACAUGAUUCAGUCUGGUUUGACUUCUAUGCUUAAGUGAUUUGCAUUUCUCCUGUUUGUGACCACAAGUGAGUUAAGGACUAACCAAGCAGGAGGGCUGUGGUUUACUCUGGUGCUAAGGAUGCCAGGAAUAGGAACUGGGAAAAUCGGCAGUCUUGGGGUGCUUACUGUAAACCUGGCAUGGUCUCAUAGACCUCAGUCGUUUAGCAAUCAGUGUAUUUUCACCUCCCGAGCAUCAGGUGUUACUCUAGACGUUACGAAUGCAACAGUGAACAAAAUAGGCCCCGAACCCUGCCCUCUUGGAGGUCUUUCUCAUGCAAGAGGUAGACAAUACAAAUAUAAAAUAAUCAGAAGGGUGAUAAACGUCAGGGAAGGAAGAACAAGGAACGCUGGGGAGGCCGUGGUGUUCAUUUAACCCAGAUCGCUGGGCAAAGGAAACCAUCACUAGCAACCUACUUUGCAUGGCCUUGGCACUCCUGUCUUUAUUUUAGAUACUUUAUGUGAAUGAACCAAACAGGUGCAGCUGAAACUUUAGUCAUGCAUUGCUUAAUGAUGAGGAUAGGUUCUGAGAAACGUGGUGUUAGGCGAUUUCAUUGUUUUUGCAAACAUCACAGAGUGAGUGUUCUUAAACCUGGGUGGUAGAGACUACCACACACUUAAGCUGUAUGCCAUAGCCUAGUGCUCCUGGGCUACAAACCUGUGCAGGAUGGUACUGUACUGAGUGCUGUAGGCAAAUGUAACACAAUGGUAAGGAUUUAUUUAACCGUACAAAAGGUACAGUAAAAAUACAAUAUAAAAUGUAAAAAAUGUUACACCCAUAUGGGACACUUAGCAUGCAUGGAGCUUGUGGGACUAGAAGUUGCUCUGGGUGAGUCAGUGAGUGGUGAGUGAAUGUGAAGGCCUAGGACGUUACACUAUUGUAGACUUUAUAAAUAUUAUAAACUUAGGCUACACUAUAUUUAAAAAAAAUGCUAUGACAUGACAGCUGUGACAUCAUUAGGCUGUAGGAAUUUUUCAGCUUCAUUAUAAUCUUACGCGACUACUGUCAUAUAUUUGGUCCAUUGUUGACUGAAAUAUCCUUAUGCAGUGCGUGACUAUCACUCAACACUGAAAGCCUUUAAUUUUUUAAAGAACAUUUUAAAUUUCAAAUGCAAGGGUUGGGAAAUAUGGGGGGGCGUGCAGAGGAGCUGGGAAGCCAUGGUGCUGGGUCACUGAUUCCCCAUUUUAUAUAAUCUCCCACCACAUCUUCCAGAAGUAAAAUUCUAGGAUUCGACAUAACUUGCAUUUCAAAGAGUGUUUAUGCCAAAGAAUUCGAGUGCUUUCAAAUAUUCUUUAAAUAGUUGGGAGCGGGGUGGACGACGUAUUUGUUGGGAUCCCACAAGAGUGCUAUAGUCUAGUCUGCAGGUGAUGUUCAGGAAGCACUUCUUCCCCUAAGCUUGUCUCUUGUUAAUUGAUACAAAAUUUUCUUGUUCAUGGGGCCUUAUAUACAGGGAGAUCUUCUGAGAUAAUCACUACUGACACAGGAGCAACCUUAAAUAUGAAAGCAGUGGACAGGGAAAAAAAGGCAGAACUCAUUGUUCCCACAGCUAUAGUUGAUGUGUAAGGAAUGAACAACCCAUGUUGCUUUGGCUGUGUUGGAGGAGCCAGCUGGAAGGAGGACAAUGUCUCUUCUGCAGACCCCUGGCAAUAUUAGACAUAGGUCUUGCAAUUCUGAUCUGUGAAUUAAUUAAGUGGGCACUAGGAGAGCCAGGAGUGUCUCCACACAGCAAAGAGACACCCUGAAAUUACCUCUGAUUUGCUUCUUAGAUAUUCCUCUCUCUCUGUGUUUGCCAGUUAAUAGAAGAAAUACAAAAAAUAGCUGGUUAAGUAGUACUUAAUUUGUGCAAAGCACUGUUGUAACCAUUCACGUAUGUGAAAUCAUUUAUUCUAUGAGGUCAGUACUGUUAAUAUUGUUCCCAUCUUACAGAUAAGCAAACUGAGGCAUAAAGGGAUUAACUAACUUGCCCAAGACACACAGCUAGACAGUGGCUGAAGCAAGGUACAGACCCGGGCAGUUUGGAUUAGUCUGUGAUCUUAGCAGCUGUGCUGUACCGGUCAUCAUUUAGUUGCCCAAUUGGUUACGGCAUAGUACAAAGCCUGGGAGUCUAGAUUCAAAGUUAAGAACACUGAACAUAAUUAGGGCUUAGCUCAAUGCAGAUCUUCAGUCUGUCUUUAGUAUGUGAGGUUGGUUUCCAGGGCCUAGUGGUAGCACUACUUUGGGGAUUAUUUUUACUACUUUGAAUCUCCUGAUCACCUUUGCCACUGGACAGAAUUGAAUGCUGAGAAGAAUUGCAGUUUCUUCAAAAAGUGUCCUAGUUGGUAUACUACAAGAAAAACAAUAGAAGCAGAAAAUAAGUUGCAUUAAUGCAUUCUUUCAAGAAACUUUUAAUUCUUUACCAUGUGUCAGCUUCUGGAUGUAGGCCAUUUCAGUGUGAUACACAUAGCAUGCUGCUAAAUCAACCUGAAAUAUCCAGGAAGUCUUCCCAGAGGAGGUGCCAGCUGGAUAUUGGAGGAUGAGUAGGUGGUACCUGAAUGAAGGGAGGAAAGGGCAUUUUAGUUCAAGGGAACAGCAAGUACAGACUCAUGGAAAUAUGCAACAGUAUGAUGUGUUUGGGAAUUAGCAAGUCUUUAUGUGUGGCAGGCAGAUGAGCAACAGGUAAUGAGGCUAGGAGAUUGGCAGGGGAAAACCAGGAAGGGUCUUGUGUGGUACCUAUAAACAUUUGAACUGCACCCUGGAAGCCAUGGGGAGCAACAAAAGCCUGUAAGCAGGAAAAUGGCCUAAUCAGCUCUGCUUUUGUAGAAAAUAUAUUCUGGCAGCAGAAGGCAGGGUGAGUUGUUGGGAGGCAAACUAGCCAGUUAUGAAGCUGUUAGAGUCAUGGAGAGAAGACAUGCUGAAAGCCAGUGGCAUGGACAGGAGGGGUGUGGGUGGGCGUAGGAUGAGAGCAGGAAGACCCACUGACCUGGAGCAACACACAGGAACGUUCAGGGCAGUCUGUUCUUGAGGCCCUUACGUACAUUUUGCUGAUUAGUACUAACCCAGGGAAUAAAAUUGGCGCUCAGCUGCAUUGUGUAUGAUAUUUCGAAACAUUAAACUUGCUUGGCUGUAAUCCCAAAUUAAUUCUGGAAGUGUAAUAUUGGAAACAUCUCUUUAACUCUUUAUGGCUUAUUGAAAAUUUCACCCUCAUUCAUCAAAUCUAAGAAAUUAACCAUUGCCAAAGCACGCUCCAAAGGGAAGGGGGCACUGAAGAGAGG
rnacentral:lncRNA from 1 species